AUGACGGUGUUCCGGGACUGCUUUGAAACUUGUCAGCUGAUUGACUUGGGCUUCUCUGGAUACCCUUAUACAUACAAUAACAGGAGAAGCGGCCGGGCAAACGUACAAGUGAGGCUGGACAGGGCUGCUGCUGAUAAUGCAUGGCGUGAUCUCUUUCAUGAAGCGGCUGUGGUGCACCUCACGUCACCAAGGUCUGACCACAGCCCAUUGCUUCUUCGCUGCUUGCCGGAAACUCGUGUGAAUAUGGGGAGAACAAGGAGGUACGAGGUGAUGUGGGAGCGGGAGCCGUCGCUAGCUGAAGUGGUGGAUGAGGCGUGGGCCACAGCAGGUGCAAAGGGUGACCUGGGAGCGGUGAGUAAGGCUCUCAAAGCAACUAUGGCUACCCUGCAUCGUUGGAGUAACAAGAAAUUGGGCAACAUUACAAAGGAGAUAGAGAAGUCUAGAACUAGACUUGAAGAGCUGCAGAACACGAAUGCAGAUCGCAGUGAGUUACGGAAGGAGUCGGACCAUAUGGACGAGCUUCUAUACAAGGAAGAAAUGAUGUGGCUGCAGCGCUCCAGACUUGAGUGGUUAAAACAUGGGGAUCGAAAUACAAAUUUUUUCCACCGGAAAGCUGUUUGGAGAGCCCGUAAAAAUAAGAUCAAAGGGCUGCGAGAUGACCAGGGUGUCCUACGCACCGAACACGCUGUUAUGUCAGGUAUGGCCAUGUCAUAUUUUGAAAAUCUGUUUCAAGCUGAUCCUUGCUUGCAUCCACAGACAGUGGUGGAUCUCUUUAACAACGUGAUCACGAAUGCUAUGAAUGAGAAGCUCUGCGAAGCUUUUACUGAUAAGGAGAUCAGCGAUGCGCUCUUUCAGAUCGGGCCCUUGAAGGCCCCCGGACCGGAUGGCUUCCCCGCCAGGUUCUUUCAGCGCCACUGGGGUACAGUGAAGGAAGACAUCAUUGAGGCGGUUAGGAAAUUCUUCGCUACUAGUGUUAUGCCUGAAGCCUGUGUAACGUGGUGUACAAGAUCAUCGCCAAGUGCUUGGUUAAUCGACUGCGACCUAUUUUGGGUGAUAUCAUUUCGGAGGAGCAAAGUGCCUUUGUGCCAGGAAGGCUUAUUACUGACAAUGCUUUGA
rnacentral:rRNA from 1 species